UGGGGAGUAGACGAAUUGGUAAAGUCACCAGUCUUUGGAACUGGAGUUUGCAGGUUCGACUCCUGCCUCCCCAGCCA
rnacentral:tRNA from 1 species